rnacentral:rRNA from 1 species
GCAUAUCAAUAAGCGGAGGAAAAGAAACUAACUAGGAUUCCCUUAGUUAACGGCGAGUGAACCGGGAUGAGCUCAAAUUUAAAAUCUGGCGUCUUUCAGGCGUCCGAGUUGUAAUCUAUAGAGGCGUUUUCCGCGCCGGACCGCGUCCAAGUCUCUUGGAAUAGAGUAUCAAAGAGGGUGACAAUCCCGUACUUGACGCGACAACCGGUGCUCUGUGAUACGUUCUCAAUGAGUCGAGUUGUUUGGGAAUGCAGCUCUAAAUGGGUGGUAAAUUCCAUCUAAGGCUAAAUAUUGGCGAGAGACCGAUAGCGAACAAGUACCGUGAGGGAAAGAUGAAAAGCACUUUGGAAAGAGAGUUAAACAGCACGUGAAAUUGUUAAAAGGGAAACGAUUGAAGUCAGUCGUGUGAAAGGUAUUCAGCCGUCUCUGGCGGUGUAUUUGCCUUUCGCGGGUCAACAUCAGUUUGAUCCGGUAGAAAAAGGCGGGAGGAAGGUGGCACCCUCGGGUGUGUUAUAGCCUCCUGUCAUAUGUGCCGGACCCGACUGAGGAACGCAGCUUGCCGCAAGGCCGGGGUUCGCCCACGUACAAGCUUAGGAUGUUGACAUAAUGGCUUUAAACGACCCGUCUUGAAACACGGACC